rnacentral:rRNA from 1 species
UACGAAGGAUGCAAGCGUUAUCCGGAUUCAUUGGGUUUAAAGGGAGCGUAGGUGGCCUUAUAAGUCAGUGGUGAAAUCUCUCGGCUUAACCGAGAAAUUGCCAUUGAUACUGUAGGGCUUGAGUAUAGUUGCCGUUGGCGGAAUAUGACAUGUAGUGGUGAAAUACAUAGAGAUGUCAUAGAACACCGAUUGCGAAGGCAGCUGACGAAACUGAUA